CAGGAUGAACGCUAGCUACAGGCUUAACACAUGCAAGUCGAGGGGCAGCAUGAUCAAGCUUGCUUGAUGAUGGCGACCGGCGCACGGGUGAGUAACGCGUAUCCAACCUUCCCUAUAGUAGUGGAUAGCCCGGCGAAAGUCGGAUUAAUACACUAUGUUGUAUUUAGAGGACAUCUGAAGAAUACCAAAGGUUUACCGCUAUAGGAUGGGGAUGCGUCUGAUUAGAUAGUAGGCGGGGUAACGGCCCACCUAGUCGACGAUCAGUAGGGGUUCUGAGAGGAAGGUCCCCCACAUUGGAACUGAGACACGGUCCAAACUCCUACGGGAGGCAGCAGUGAGGAAUAUUGGUCAAUGGACGGGAGUCUGAACCAGCCAAGUAGCGUGCCAGGAUGACGGCCCUAUGGGUUGUAAACUGCUUUUAUACGGGGAUAAAGUGAGCCACGUGUGGCUUUUUGUAGGUACCGUAUGAAUAAGGACCGGCUAAUUCCGUGCCAGCAGCAGC
rnacentral:rRNA from 1 species